rnacentral:rRNA from 1 species
GACAGAGGGUGCAAACGUUGUUCGGAAUUACUGGGCGUAAAGCGUGUGUAGGCGGCCGCGCAAGUCGGAUGUGAAAUCCCCGGGCUCAACCCGGGAAGGGCACCCGAAACUGCACGGCUCGAGUACCGGAGAGGUUGGUGGAAUUCUCGGUGUAGAGGUGAAAUUCGUAGAUAUCGAGAGGAACACCGGUGGCGAAGGCGGCCAACUGGACGAGUACCGACGCUGAGACACGAAAGCGUGGGGAGCAAACAGG